rnacentral:tRNA from 1 species
GCUCACGUAGCUCAGUUGGUAGAGCGCAUCCUUGGUAAGGAUGAGGUCACCGGUUCGAUUCCGGUCGUGAGCUCCA